UUGCUGCCCUGGGAAGCCCAAGACCAAAGUGCCAGGAGAUUUCAUGUCUACUGAAGGGCUCACUCUCUGCUCCAAAAAAUUGAUCCUCCCAUGAGGAAAAGAAGGAACACUGGAAAUCACAUGGUAGGAGAAUGGAAGCUUUUCCAAAAAUUGUCAUGAAGCAGGCAGGUAUACUAUAAAAGCUGUAACUCAGGAAUCAUUUGUGCCAGGCAGUCUCUGCGAUCAUUCCCAGUCAUCUUCAACUCUUGGUACAAAAAAAGGGGGCUUAUUAAAUGGCACUGGACCUUCCUCAAAGAGUUCCAUUGCCGGUCAAGGCCCAGGCACUGGAGAGGAACUCGGAAGUCACCGAGAAGCUGCAACUUCAGCAGCACUGCGCAAAGGUAGUUGUGUUUAUGAAGUGAGUCACCGGGCUUCACCUGUAAUGUGAAACAAGAGAAGGGAGAGAAAGUUUCGCUGCAGCCAGACACUUAGAGGUGAAGGAGACAAAGUAGAAAUACAAACAGGUUCCCAACUAACUUCACACUUGAAAUAAAAUAUGGGAGCUAAAGUGACAAACAGCUGCGAAUGCCUGUGAUGUGCUUACACGUAUAGAAAAACCUUUCCCCAAACAUGAGGGUCAGAUGAGUGCUGAAGAGGUGUGCACGGGUCACCAACAGCAUCUCCUACACCAUGUACCUUAAUUUUCAGAAUAGAGAAAUGAUUAAUUUAUCAUGUUUAAGUCUGAGGGAAGCCCUAUAAAAAACCUUCUCUUUUAUAUGCUAGUAUGAACUAAUAAUACAUUUCUUAAAAUGAGUCUCCUUAUGCUUACAUUACCACAAGUGCUUGAAAGCACAAUUUUUGAGCACAUAAGGUCUUAGAGACAUAGGGUACUGACUGAAACAUUCCUCAUUCCUCUGCCAAAUUCAGCAAUAGUACAAGUCAUGCAACAAGUGGGGAUGAAAAACAUUCUCUCCCAACAUCUUACUUUCAUCGUGUGAUGAAAACUCAAUUAAAAUGUACUGAGAUUACUUGAAAUACUUACCUUUUUAUAUGUCUCUAU